rnacentral:rRNA from 1 species
GAUCAUGGCUCAGGAUGAACGCUAGCUACAGGCUUAACACAUGCAAGUCGAGGGGCAUCAGUUUGGUUUGCUUGCAAACCAAAGCUGGCGACCGGCGCACGGGUGAGUAACACGUAUCCAACCUCCCGCAUACUCGGGAAUAGCCUUUCGAAAGAAAGAUUAAUGCCCGAUGGUUUCAAGGGAUUGCAUGGUAUCUUGAAUAAAGAUUCAUCGGUAUGCGAUGGGGAUGCGUU